UGCAAGAAAAACCAGGAAAAAUUCAGAGAGAAAGAGAGAAAGAAGAGAGAAAAAUCUGUGAGAAAAACUAGUUGAAAAAUUCAGAAAAUAAUUCAGAGAAGAGAAUUGAGCAUGGAUGAACCUUUCUCACUAUCCUGUGACUUUAAUCAGUGUGUUCAGGUGUGGUUAAGAGCUGAAGGUUUGGUGUCCAAAAGUUUAGAAUCACCCAAGUUCUUUAGCCUUUGAUUUUAUCGGUUAGACGUGUGUUCAGCUUGAAGUUUAUAUCAACCAAGUUCAUCUUAAAGCUUGAGGAAAUCGGAGUGAAAUGGAGUGUUAUUAGUUGAGCUCGAGUCUAGUC